GACGAACCGUGCGAACGUUGUUCGGAUUCACUGGGCUUAAAGGGCGCGUAGGCGGCUUCUCAAGUCGAGGGUGAAAUCGUUCCGCUUAACGGGACAAUAGCCCUCGAUACUGGGAGGCUGGAGGGAGAUAGGGGUGCGCGGAACUUCCGGUGGAGCGGUGAAAUGCGUAGAUAUCGGAAGGAACGCCGGUGGCGAAAGCGGCGCACUGGAUCUCUUCUGACGCUGAGGCGCGAAAGCCAGGGGAGCAAACGGG
rnacentral:rRNA from 1 species